GACGAACGUUGGCGGCGUGCCUAAUACAUGCAAGUCAACUGAAAUACCGGUAGCAAUACUGGUAUGGAGGUGGCGCACGGGUGAGUAACACGUAGGUAAUCUGCCUUCAGGUCUGACAUAACCCAUCGAAAGGUGAGCUAAUAUCAGAUGAUGCAGCGGCUUGACAUCAAGACAGUUGUUAAAGCUUCGGCGCCUGAAGAUGAGCCNGCGUCUGAUUAGCUAGUUGGCGGGUACGGACCCGA
rnacentral:rRNA from 1 species